GUGGGGGCUUUGAGUACUGAGAUGCUGGACUGUCGGCACAGAGUGGCUCUGGCUGGCUGAAGCCUCUCAUACCCUCCAGGCCAGGCGAACCCAGUCCCCAGCUAACCCCGGCACCCCUCUCUGGGCUCAGCAGCAGAUGGGCCAGACCUUGAGCCAGGCCAACAAUUGGAACAGGGCCUGGAUGAUUCAAGAAACCUGCUCCCCUCAACCCCCAUGGACUGGGAGAUGCUGAUGGAACCACUCCUCUUAUUCAUGGCUGUGACUCCCAAUGGGGAGUCAGCCCCUCCAGCAGUGCCACUGCCUCCCCAGGCUCCACACUGCCAUGUGGUGAUGUGGGUCCUGUGUGGGGAGCAGCCCAUGUGUUGGGAGGAGGAUGUUGUGCUGGAGACACCGUGGGGGAGUGGAGAUGGCUCACAGCCUGCAUCAGCUCCUAUAAGAGAAGCUGCUUGGGACCAAGUACUCUACCAGCUGACAGCAGCCUCUGUGGACUGGGAUAAUGAGCAGCUAACUCUCCGAGGAAGGGCAGAGACCACAGCUGACCAGGCCCGUGCCCAGGGGUGCUGGCUUCAAGCCCUUCAGACAAGCAAGAUCAGCUCUGCCCCUCCUGCUUCACUUGCCCUGUAGCUGUGGAAGCUACCACUAGGGAGGUCCUGCCUGGGGCCCUGCAGGUGUGGAGCUCAGAGCCAGCUGAGCCCCCAGGAACCCCUCCUGCCUCUCACAGCCAUCUAGAUGCAGCUUCUCUGCCCACAAUUGUCCCCUCUAAAGGU
rnacentral:lncRNA from 1 species